rnacentral:lncRNA from 1 species
UUUUGCAGCCCGAACUGCAUCACCAGGACACGGAGGAAUAAUCCCUGGAAUCUGAAUGAAAGAGUUGAACUGCUCCUGGAGCAUCCUGAUUUAUGAUGAUGUUUCGUCCUCCUUCUUCUGCACCCUCUCUAAAACUCAUAUUCAUCGAAUUCGUCCUCGUCUUCCACAUCUUCAUCUGUGCUGAGAUCAUCCAGGGAGCGUAGACCUUUUGCAGCCCG